UGGAUAACCUACCCUUAGGACCGGAAUAACCCCGGGAAACUGGGGAUAAUACCGGAUAAGCCAUAGACGCUGGAAUGCCCUAUGGUUCAAAGCUCCGGCGCCUAAGGAUGGAUCUGCGGUCUAUCAGGUAGUAGUGGGUGUAACGUACCUACUAGCCGACGACGGAUACGGGUUGUGAGAGCAAGAGCCCGGAGAUGGAUUCUGAGACACGAAUCCAGGCCCUACGGGGUGCAGCAGGCGCGAACACUUUACAAUGCGGGAAACCGCGAUAAGGGAACCCCGAGUGCCAGCAUCAAAUGUUGGCUGUCCAGAUGAUUAAAAAUCAUUUGUUAGCAAGGGCCGGGCAAGACCGGUGCCAGCCGCCGCGGUAACACCGGCGGCCCGAGUGGUAGCCGUUUUUAUUGGGUCUAAAGGGUCCCUAGCCGGCCUGAUAAGUCCUUUGGGAAAUCUGGCAGCUUAACUGUCAGGCUUCUAAGGGAUACUGUCAGGCUUGGGACCGGAAGAGGUAAGGGGUACUCCAGGGGUAGGAGUGAAAUCUUGUAAUCCCUGGGGGGACCAUCUGUGGCGAAGGCGCCUUACCAGAACGGGUCCGACGGUGAGGGACGAAAGCUAGGGGGCAAACCGGGAUUAAAUACCCGGGUAGUCCUAGCUGUAAACGAUGCUCGCUA
rnacentral:rRNA from 1 species